GACGAACGCUGGCGGCGUGCUUAACACAUGCAAGUCGAACGGAAAGGCCCUGCUUUUGUGGGGUGCUCGAGUGGCGAACGGGUGAGUAACACGUGAGUAACCUGCCCUUGACUUUGGGAUAACUUCAGGAAACUGGGGCUAAUACCGGAUAGGAUCUCCUGCUGCAUGUUGGGGGUUGGAAAGUUUCGGCGGUUGGGGAUGGACUCGCGGCUUAUCAGCUUGUUGGUGGGGUAGUGGCUUACCAAGGCUUUGACGGGUAGCCGGCCUGAGAGGGUGACCGGCGACAUUGGGACUGAGAUACGGCCCAGACUCCUACGGGAGGCAGCAGUGGGGAAUAUUGCACAAUGGGCGGAAGCCUGAUGCAGAAACGCCGCGUGCGGGAUGACGGCCUUCGGGUUGUAAACCGCUUUCGCCUGUGACGAAGCGUGAGUGACGGUAAUGGGUAAAGAAGCAACGGCUAACUACGUG
rnacentral:rRNA from 1 species